rnacentral:rRNA from 1 species
GAAAGUCUGACGGAGCAACGCCGCGUGAGUGAUGAAGGUUUUCGGAUCGUAAAGCUCUGUUGUUAGGGAAGAACAAGUGCAAGAGUAACUGCUUGCACCUUGACGGUACCUAACCAGAAAGCCACGGCUAACUACGUGCCAGCAGCCGCGGUAAUACGUAGGUGGCAAGCGUUGUCCGGAAUUAUUGGGCGUAAAGGGCUCGCAGGCGGUUUCUUAAGUCUGAUGUGAAAGCCCCCGGCUCAACCGGGGAGGGUCAUUGGAAACUGGGAAACUUGAGUGCAGAAGAGGAGAGUGGAAUUCCACGUGUAGCGGUGAAAUGCGUAGAGAUGUGGAGGAACACCAGUGGCGAAGGCGACUCUCUGGUCUGUAACUGACGCUGAGGAGCGAAAGCGUGGGGAGCGAACAGGAUUAGAUACCCUGGUAGUCCACGCCGUAAACGAUGAGUGCUAAGUGUUAGGGGGUUUCCGCCCCUUAGUGCUGCAGCUAACGCAUUAAGCACUCCGCCUGGGGAGUACGGUCGCAAGACUGAAACUCAAAGGAAUUGACGGGGGCCCGCACAAGCGGUGGAGCAUGUGGUUUAAUUCGAAGCAACGCGAAGAACCUUACCAGGUCUUGACAUCCUCUGACAACCCUAGAGAUAGGGCUUUCCCUUCGGGGACAGAGUGACAGGUGGUGCAUGGUUGUCGUCAGCUCGUGUCGUGAGAUGUUGGGUUAAGUCCCGCAACGAGCGCAACCCUUGAUCUUAGUUGCCAGCAUUCAGUUGGGCACUCUAAGGUGACUGCCGGUGACAAACCGGAGGAAGGUGGGGAUGACGUCAAAUCAUCAUGCCCCUUAUGACCUGGGCUACACACGUGCUACAAUGGACAG